rnacentral:lncRNA from 1 species
CCGGCGCUCGCGGCGCUCGUCACCAGUCGCCCUGGGGUCGCCGGGGCCGCGCGGUGGCUUCCCCUUCGCUCGCCCUCCCCCUCCCCGGCUGGGAAGCUCCGGCCGUGCCGUGUUCCUCGGCCUUCCUGUGUCCCAUGGGCCGCUCAGGAUGGACAGCAGGACCGUUCCCCUGCGGUAGAGCCGAGCCCCAACGGGGAGGAACAGCGGCGGCGCCGUGGGUGGGCGGUGGGGCUCACGGCGGAGGCCCGGAUUUAAAAACCUGCACAAGGAAGGGAAUGCAAAACACCUGA